GACGAAGGGGGGCUAGCGUUGUUCGGAAUUACUGGGCGUAAAGCGCGUGUAGGCGGUUAUCCAAGUCGGGUGUGAAAGCCUUGAGCUCAACUCAAGAAAUGCACUCGGUACUGGGUGACUAGAGGACCGGAGAGGAUAGUGGAAUUCCCAGUGUAGUGGUAGAAAUACGUAGAGAUUGGGAAGAACACCAGUGGCGAAGGCGGCUAUCUGGACGGUUUCUGACGCUAAGACGCGAAAGCGUGGGGAGCAAACAGG
rnacentral:rRNA from 1 species